GGACGCUUAGCUCAAUGGCUAGAGCAUCGCGUUUACAUCGCGAGGGUUGGGGGUUCGAGUCCCUUAGCGUCCACCA
rnacentral:tRNA from 2 species